UGUGUGUGUGUGUGUGUGUGUGUGUGUGUGUGUGGUUAUGCAGCAGCAGAGACAAAGGGGCAUUUAGCCCUCCUGCCCUAUCGCUAUAGCAACAUGUGCGAAGUGCGUAGGGACAAGGCUAAUUACGAGGGAUGAAGAGGAGGGGAGGGUUGAUAGACAGAGGUGAGAACGGGAGGAAGAGGGGAGAGAGGGGUGUUUAAAGGAACGCAGGAAAAGGAAGAGAGAAAAUAAAGAGCAGUCUCUGCCUCACUCUAUUUCUGUUUCACUUUUCUAUCUCUUUUUCUCUCUCCCAUUCCUCCUCCCUCACCCUCUAUUGAUAUGUCUUUCUCUCCCUCCUAGUCUCUCUCACUGCCACCCACUUUUUCCCCUACUAUGUCUUUCUGGCACGACGUGAUUUCACCAAAUAGGACACGUUCCUGGAUCGUCUUUAUUAUGUUGCCCCUGACAACAAAUCUGUCAACCAAUCAGACCAUCGCAUGCCUUGUGAGAUGUGCAAUGCCCCCCCUUGUACCCACCAAAAUUCUAAAUGUCUUGUUCAUUUAUUAACUAACCUACUGUGCGCUGAUGCAAAAUCUGCACUGCUCUUCAACAAAAGAGAUUUUAGCUGACAAACUGGCAACAAGGAUGGACUGCUAAUUCUGCUUGCUGAUUGCUCCCGAGGAGACUGAGGUUACCUGUGCGCAGGGUUGCAUUGGACGUGGCUCAGGGAGCCCACACUCCGACAAAAAUGGAUCAGAAAGGGACCCGCCUCGGACCGGCUUGGAUGCCAUUACGGAUGGCGUAAUGGCCUCGGACCCGCCUCGGACGCCAUUACGGACAGACAAAAUAAAUUAAGGGUGAGAUUGAUUUUCUUUUAAACACCAUAGAAUAUUCUGGGACAUGUUGUGCACGUUAUGUCUUUGAUGUAGCAAAUACACUCCUAGUUAGAAUGUUUGUUGUGGCAGAGUUACUUCUGAAUUGGGGAAGUCCUGGAAGUAAUUCUAGGGCAAACGUCCUGUUGAAGCAGGGUGAUUUCCAAUUGGGAUAUUUUUGUUCAAGCAGAAGUAUCCUGGUUAGAUACAGGGGUUGUGUUUCUCUGUUGAAGCAGAGAGGUGGCCAUGGGACGAUAUGACAUGGUUAUGAGUUAUGUGAUCCUAGGGCACAAUCCUGAGAUAGAAACAAAAACAUUGUAAAAAAUAAAAUGUAAUUAAUCAGUGGACUGGUAAAACAGUUGGUUAUGAUUGGGAAACCAGCUAUACAUUUGAAAACCUACAUGGGAAUUUGCAUAGGAGGAUCUACCAUGUGGGUAUAACAUUUAAAAUUACAUAGAAUAAUUAUAUAUUUUAUUUUAUUAAAAAGGAAGGAAGAUGUUCCUAAUUAAACACUGUUGUUUGUGUGUUUGUGUUUGAGUGUGUGUGUAUAGUUGAGUUUCACAAUGGGAGCCAAGAGCAGCAAGGGAGAACCUUGCCUGCCUGAUCCACUGACCGGACCAGUGAAGGUCAUGGCAGAUAAACGGGGCAGGGAUAUUCUGGAACAGGACAAUAACCCAACCUACCUACAAGCUAUUUGACCAAGAAGGAGAGUGAUGGAGUGCUGCAUCAGAUGACCUGGCCUCCAUAAUCACCCGACCUCAACCCAAUUGAGAUGGUUUGGGAUGAGUUGGACCAUAGAGUGAUGGAAAAGCAGCCAACAAGUGCUCAGCAUAUGUGGAAACUCCUUCAAGACACUUGGAAAAGCAUUCCAGGUGAUGCUGGUUGAGAGAAUGCCAAGUAUGUGCCAAGCUGUCAUCAAGGCAAAGGGUGGCUACAUUGAAGAAUCUAAAAUCUAAAAUCUAUACUAUAUAUUCUCUUUUUUGGUUACAACAUGAUUCCAUAUGUUAUUUCAUAGUUUUAAAGUCUUUACUAUUAUUCUACAAUGUAGAAAAUAGGAAGAUACAGAACAACCCUUGAAUGAGUAGGUGUGUCCAAACUUUUGACUGGUAGUGUUUAUUUACAAAAGAAUAUACGGGGUAUUGGAAAUUAUGCAGACAAUUCCAUUGAUGAAAGCUACAAUCUAUCUGCAAUAUUAAAGCUGAUCUGCCCCCCCAAAAUUUAAAUAAAUUAAACCAUGGUUCAACUUUGACACUAUGGUGUAUUAUGUGUAGGCAAGUGACAAAAAAUCUCAAUUUAAUUGUUUUUAUAUUUAGGCUGUAACACAACAAAAUGUGGAAAAAGUCAAGGGGUGUGAAUAUUUUCUGAAGGCACGGUAGCAGAUAAAGUGUCGCUGUGAGGAAUUGUUGUUUUCUAAGUUAAUUUACGGUGAAACAGGAACAUUGUUACAGAAUCCCCUGCCAAGUGCGCUACAAGACGCUAUAUGACUUUGUUGUGUGCUGUCACGGAUCCCUCUGGUACUGUUGCUCAUUCCGUGCAACAGUUUCGGAGGUCUACGUCACCGGCCUCUGGGAACUGAACUGUGUCAUUGCGCACACCUGGUACUCAUUUUCUCCCCGGAUUAGUAAUUGUAUAAGUGUGGCCUUUGUUCACCAUUGUCUUGUCGAUUAUUGUUCCAAUAUCCGUUGGUCCUGUGAGUAAGUGUGUUGUUUUGGCUUUCGUGGCUUUCGUGCCGCUUGUAUUGCGCAGAUGAUUACGGGUCUCGUCCCGUCUGGUAUCAUUGUGUGCGUGUAUGUUACGGAUCUCGCCCGGUGUAUUUAUUCUAGGUACUCCUCGCACUUUUGUUUGGGAUUCAACCCUGUGUGUUGUAUACAUGUUUGUUUGGUCUUCAUCCCUGUGCCUUUACAUGGCACGCUGUAAUUUGGGUAAAUAAAUAAAAAACUAUUACGCAUUCCUGCGCCUCUCUCCCGAUCCCUUUAUACCAAUGUGAUGUGUGCAUUUGUUUAUUUGCUUUCUGGAGCAGCGCUGUCUUGCUCUCACCCAUCCUCACUCUUUCUCGCCCUCACCUGAGAAAUCAAUAUCUCAUCUACCCCGUGGCUUCAGCCAAUCAUACAAUUUUCAUGUGUCUCACCCCUCCCUGUACAUGCUCUAGCGAUGCAGUCUCUCCAGGCCCUGAUUGACUAGCCAGCCUGACCCAUGCUUUCCAAGGGAGUAAGUAGUACCUGUACCCGAAAUGUAUUUUUCCAGUCUGUGGGUGGACAGAGAUGCAUGGGUUGUGUGAUGACAAAGUAAGUUAUUUUUAUUUUUUUACUUGGCUUUGUAUAACUCUGUUAGUGGUCUGUGGCUAUUGCUUCAUUAUAUAGAGUAUCUUAGCUCUGUUGCUAAUACGUUAUCUCUGUUAUCUCCAGUUAGCAUACUGUAUGUAGCUUCUAAGUCUUCCACCUCAAAAAGCACACGAAAGAGGAU